AGGCAGGAUGUCUCUUGGGGAGGCGAGGGCGUAGAGACGGAAAAGCGGAUCCAAUUAGUUACCACCUCUCAGCACACACAAAUAAUUAGUAACCCACUCUCGGGAACUGAUGAGAACCUACUGGAUCCCACCUCUG